AUGAAGGGCGGGAACCCGAAUCAGCCCGCCCGCGUGAGCUGAGGAAGGCCUUUUGGUCUGUAAAGCUCUUUCCUCAGGGAAGAAGACGAUCAGACGGCUUAGUACCCGAUACCCCGUGACAUUUACGUGCCCAACAACCACCGGCUAACUCAUGGGCCCUCACCUCGCCAAUACUAAUGGUGCAUGCGUUAGUCGAAGUUACUGGUGUAUCGCAAGCGUAAGGUGUCUUGAUCAGCCAUAUGUGACUUCCCCGCCUUAACCUGUGAACUGCAUCUAAUACUGUUAAGCUCCAAUAGGUGAGAGGAAAUUAGAAUUCCUUGUGAAGGGUUGAAAUGCCUAAAGAUCUGCACGAAUACCGAUCGUAAACGCAGCUUCCUGGCCUCGUACUGACACUGAGGCUCGAUACCCUGGGUAUCCAACCCGAUUACAUACCCUGGUAGUCCUCGCCGUAUACCAUCUCCACUACUCCUUGGGUCCCUUGAGGACUUCCUGACGCAACUACGCUCUAAGUAGACCGCCUGGGGAGUACUGCCGCAGCGUUAAAACUCUAAUGAAUUGACUGGUGCCCUGUCACAAGCGCUGGAACAUGUGGUUUAAUUCUAUGCAUCGCGAAGAACCUUACCUGGUCUUGACAUACACUUACAUCUUGUAGAGAUACGAGAGUGCCUUCGGUUAAUUGUGAUACAGUGUGCUGCAUGGCUGUCGUCAGCUCCUGUCCUGAGAUGUUGCGUUAAGUCCCGCAACGAGCGCAACCCUUGUCCUUAAUUACCAGCUGCCUUAAGACGGUAACUCUGAGAUACUGACACUGACAAACUGUCAUGAACGCUUGGGACUACGUCUAUCAUCAUGGCCCUUACGACCAUGGCUACGCUCGUGCUACAUGGUAGGUACAUAGGCAUCUACCCAUCCUGUGAUGCGAAUCUCACAAAACCUAUCCUAUCCAAGUUGGAUCUCCACUCGACUCCAUGAGUAGCAUCCUGAUAGCGGCCAUCGACUGCCC
rnacentral:rRNA from 1 species